rnacentral:lncRNA from 1 species
UCGAACGUCACCACCAGCCGCACCUCCCCCUGCAUGUAGCUGCUGACGUCGUCGUUCUCAUCGCCGCCACUCGAGGACUCGGCCUGGACCUCGCCGCAGCAGGUGGCCGCGGGCGCGUCCUCGCUCGCCGGGCAGGAGGCGGAGGGAGCAGGGGCAACGACGGGGCCGGCGGGCACGAGGGCCUUGGAGGUGGAGGCGGAGGUGGGGUUGGAGGGGGAGGCGGAGGGGACGGCGCUGCCAUCGGUCGUGCAGUCGUCGCCCGAGCUUGACACGGGCGGCGUGGGAGACUCCUUCAUGGCCUCGAGGACGGGGGCGGGGCUAGCUGCAGCCAACGUGGCGCGCGGGUCCCAAAGUGGACGCCGAACGACCUGAGCGAGAGGGGGAAAGGGCGCGCGGGUGGGGGAGCGGAAAGGAUGAGUGCGCGCGCUUGUUGAGCAGGAGCCUCAAGAAUGCCGAUACGUGGUUGUAUGAAAGAGCCCCAGGCGAGAGGUCUAAGAGCCCGCGCGAGCAACAAUCAAGCUGAACAAACCAAAGACUGUCGUAAAGCCUACUGCGCAUGCCACUAGUGGAAGUUUGGCUUUGACAACCGCCGGGCCAGCGUUCCGGCCAGGCGGUGCACAAAGGAAACGCCAGUAGCGCUGAAUUGGUGGUUGUGCCCGCCAACGUGUACCCGUCGCUUUUGCAGAAUGCUCACCUUCUGUCCAUUGCAAGGGAAGCAUGGCGAGCGGAUGUCGCUAGCAGUAGCCUUGCACAGGCGAGGCACGCCGAGGGCCUCAGGCAGAGCAUUGAGCAUGCAGCUCAAGUCCUCCCUCAAGUCUCCGCCCGUCAGCGCCUUGAAGACGCAUCCAGCCAGAAACGAGAGCAUGGAAGCACACGUUUGAGCAAAGGAAAGAAGGAGCGACAAGCAACAGAAGUGCGCCGAGCAAUCGGUGCAGUCUUUUCGCUCGCUAUGUGCGUUUAGAUGUCACGAGCUAGCAGUGCAUGCUUUGAGAAGCUGAGAUAGCGUAGAAGUAAGGAAAUGCCGCAUGAUUGAUUGAUGUUACAAGUUCAUGCUCGUAGAUUGGUCCAAACGAGCCAGGAAGCUCAUGGACCGCCAAAACUAGUCUCAAAAGGAUUAUUCAAAAAGCAAAACAGUUCAUGCAAUAAUAUAUCUAAAUUGGUCGCGCCGUAAGGUCGUUACGUCGCAGCCUUAUCGCGUGAAUGACACGCGCUAAACCCCUCUGGUCACCACUGGCCAUCGCGUCCAUCAUAGUCGCGGGAAUCACCUCCCACAGCGUGCUUCUGAUAUCAUCGUACGCCUUGCACUCAAGCAGCACAUGCCUCUCAUCCUCUACAUGCUCCUCCCCAUCAGCGUGGCAAAGCGGACAUACUCUCUGUGCUCUCUCCCUGUGCGCACCCUGCGCACCGCGUGGGUUGUUAGCCUCAAUCAUCCACACGCCCAUCCUGAAUCUCAUCAUGGAGACAUGCCAUGCUCGAGGAAUGUAGAUUUGCGUGUGCCGUGUUUCCCCCAUCCAAUGCUUGUAACGACAUAUCUUCACGCCAGGCUUGACCCCUGCUUGCGUCACAAAAUCCCGUGGAUUAACCUCUAACCUGUUGCUAGCCCAGUCCUCCUCAAACUUCUCGCGUACCUUCCCCAUGAGGGAGGCAACAUCCAGUUCUUGCGUAGUAAUGCGUGUAAUAUUGGCCUCGAUAUCAGCUGCCUCUCCACUGAAACGGUAGCCAAGGCCAACCAUCAAUAACCGCAGAACUUUAGCCCCCCACGUGUGCGUGGGCGGCGUCGGUAGGUUGCUCAACACCGCUCGUAUCUCCUCCUUAAACGCCUGAUGGUAAACAGUGCCGGUUGCCUUAACCAGUUGGUUCCAAAAACGGAAAACAAGCUCAGCCCAAUGCACGUGUAAUGGCAUGCACCCAAGCUCUCGAAAGAGCAGUUCAUGUGUUGGUUUCUGGGCUCCCACCACUUCCUUCAUGAAAUCCAUCUGAAUGCGAACCAUGCCAUGCUCUAGUGCUCGAUCAAACGCUCCAUAUCUUUGACCGUCAACUGGGGACGCAUUGAACACUUGGAGAAGCGCGUCUGGUGCCCACACUUGUGCACCGUAAGAUAAUACCGCACGCACCUGAGCGUUAAAGCACCGCAUAGCUACCGCAGGGACCAUAAGCCCCUUCUUGCGUAACUUCCGUCGUAGUGCAUGCAUAGCUCGCUCACCCGAUGCACGUAACUCUUUGCAACAAGAUUCAAACUUAAAACUUGGGCCGUAAUACAGGCCAAGGUACCGCGCUCUACGCUUCCAGGGAAAGAAGCGAAGUGCUUCCAGCCCUUGCUGGUAUUCCCGCAUGUACACCGGCAUGGGGCUUGGCUCCUGCCGUAAAUAACGCCGAAAGGUGGCUGACGAAUGCACACCCAGCACUUCUGACUUUGUAACAUGCCGCAUGUUGACCGCAUUUUGUCCAGCCCCGCGACCUCGCGACCGGAUGGCAGUACGACCGCGCACAGCUGAACCCGCCGUGAACAACAGGUCCCUCGCCACACCGUGCGUGUCCAGUUUGCGAUUGAAUGCAUCAUGUAAUACUCUAGAUGUAUUACUCGCAGCAAACGUUGCAUAAAAGAAAUGCGCGCGUCAGGACGACUGGAGUGAGACGGAAGGUGCACAGCCAUGACUGUUACACCCCGUCAGCUUGUCGCUAACGGCCGCGCCCCGGCAGACGCAGUGUGCUGGCCCGCAGCUAGUAGACGCAUGCUUUGACAGCGGGUGCAUGUCUCAGAGACUCAGAGCCGCACGCGGGGCCUUAGGUGCUGACUCUGCUGAGAGUGGAAGGGAGUGCAUGCGCGCAGCCAGCAGCGGUCGGGUUCGCAGAGGUCCGCUCAGGGUCAACCCUGGGUCCGCUGUGGUUGGAACGUGUAGUUCGACGCCACAUCCGUACAUAACGCUGGACUGGCCACCGACAAAUGCUCUUUCUCCUUUUACCAACGCCACUGCGACAUCUGCACUCUGCAGACGCGGGCACACAUAGCCUGCUGCUUGAAGCCAUACUUCACUGAACACAUCAGGGAAGCAAACAUAACACCUCCCCACCUGCGCAAUCAUGCCCACCCAGUCCCACCCCGCCUCUGUAAACUCAGUAACUUCAGAAUCCCCGAACUCAAACCAAUCCCCCAUACACGUUCCCACAGGCCACUCUUAUACCUUCGGCCGAUCGGAAGCUUAGCAGGUAGCGGCCUCCUUUGAACUGUUCCAACAAGAGUAUUACGGUACUCACGCUAUACCAGUAUGACUUACGGUUCGCCACCAGAGUUCGUACUUGCCGCCAACGCGUGCCAGUUCUUAUCCGAGUCACCUGCCUGUGCCUAGUGCCCCUGCCCACGGCAUUGCAGCAGCGCGACCGUACCAUAGCAGCACGACCAGUGCGCCCGCACCAUGCACUGCUCUGAGGUCGUGGCGUUCAUUCCCCUCGCCUGCCCUUGCGCCCUUCCAUUACGGUACUUCAUGGCAUGCAGCUGCGCCCAUGUCGACAGCCGUACCAACGCCAUACGUCUGUCCCCAUCACCUAUCCGUCACCUGCUCCCCUGCAUCAAGCCUGGCCUGGCUCCCCCUCGCUUCCGUCUCCCAUUCCCUGCACCCUCCACCGGGCCCAACCUCCAUCCCAGCCGCCACAGCCAAUGCCCUCUUCUCGACCCGUUGUAAUCCGCAUCCAUAUGCUGCGUUGGCUGGCGCAGUUCGUUUACUCGGGAGGACUCGGCGGGGCGUCUUCCGCUGCACGCCUGCACCCUUCCCCUUGCACCCUUGCCCCUUGCAUGGCUCUUGUACAUCAUGUUUGCAUCCGAGUCGCUGGCGGCGACGCCACAAACCCCACACAUCUGCCCCCACCGAUGACUGCCUAGCACCUCAUCCGGCCGCUAUAGCCACCCACCUCGCUUCCAUGUCCUGCACCCGCGCUCCCUCCACGGCUCCACCCACCACCGAGCCCCACCUCCAAGGCUCCAGCUCAUGCCCACUCAAGGCCACACGCACGCAUGCAGGUAAGAAGCAUGCUGAGUUGCUCAAGCCCGCGAGGCCCGGCCCACGUACACCGUGCAUGCAUGCUCUGCAGUAUAUGCACCAGUAGGCAGGCCCCGAGGACAAAGAGACGUGUCACUGGAUGCUGCCCAUAGUUGUUACAAGUGCAUGCACGCACGCCGAUGCAUGAAGCUAUGGCCCCACCGGCCUUGAUUAGGAAAGAAGUCAUCUUUUGGUGUCAAUCCGUGCGUAUGCUUCACUGGGCUCCAGCCCUGCCCCGUCUCAUCCUCUCAUCCAGUGUCCUUACCCAGGGGUGAUGACCUGCAAUGCACAGGCCGUGCCCCUUCAUCCAGUGUGCCAGUCCUGUGCCCAUCCCUACUCGUCCUAGUCACGAGGCCUAACUAGCCGUGCACACGCUCCAGCCCCCGCCGCACCGUCAGCCGCUGCAGCUAUGAAGCCGUUCGCUACCCGCCGUCACACCCACGGUCACACCGCCUAGCAGCUAGUCCUCAUUACCGUACACCUGGCCAAGCUGCAUGAAUCAAUGCAGCCAGCGCUUUGCACAAGACAAUAUCGGCUGACACAAGCAGGUCAAAGCAAUCUAAUAGUGAAACGGUAGCCAACGAGCCAAAGACGCUUGGUUCAGCGACGCCGCGUCAGGCAUUUGCCCGCCUAGUCAGUUGUGUGUUGUGUUCACCUGCGUGCCGGUCUGUCAACCGCCCACCGCCCGUAUUCAACACUAGCAGACUAAAGCCUAAAGCCGAAGCGUCUAAAAGAUACAGAUCAAUCCAUGUACAGGGUCCUAAAUGUCCAAAAACACCCGAAAGAGAAGCCAAUGCACGAGUUGUGUGAAAGAGCAAUGCUAGGCAGACAGCGUUCGACCCAAACCACGUCUAGUGAUGACACGCACGCUCACGGGCACGCAGAGUGCCUCCCCUCGCAGUAGCAGUAUGAAUAUCUGCAGCGCAUGUAUAAUGAAUUAGUUUGUACGCCCUAUGAAAGAACUUCCACGCCCUAGGCCGCUUGCUCCAUCCUAAGCGGUAGGUAGUGUUCCAGUCCUGCCGCUGACGCGCACUCGGAGCUAGCUGCGGCACUCCUGGGGCUGUCUCGGCGCGCAAGCACACAAGCAAACGCACACACUGAUGCCGGCCGCACGCCGGCCUGGCGCGGCACGAUAGCUAGUAAGCGAGCUAGCGAGCAAGCCCUACUCUCCUUGGCAGCAUACGCUGCAGCCCUGCCAAUGAAACCAUCUCAGGUUUGCCCUCUCUCGAACCUCUCAACAGCCCUGCCCGACAGCCUAUGGGCGCCCUUGGCGCGAAAACGCAAGCCACCAAUACCAAGCCCGCUAGCAGCACGUAGCAUGUAGCGUCAUCAGUAGCCGCACACAACGACCUCCUCCCAGAUCGCGGCCAGCCGCUGGACCACCUGCUCCGCAGUGGGCCGCUCCUGCGGAUCCCACGCCACGCAGUCGAGCAGCAGCAGCUCCAGUGACAGGGGCAGGUAGGAAGGGAAGAUGCCGGCCGGGAAGGCACGGGCAGCAGCCGGCGCGUCGCCGGCCGGCCACCAGCUCUGCUGCGCAAACCAGUCGGCCGCGGCGCUGUUGCUGCCGGUCACAGCCACGCACAGGGCCGUGAUGCCGAACGAGUACACGUCCACAGCGGCCGUCAAUGGCACGUUGCUCUGCACCUCGGGUGCCAUGUAGUGGCGGGUGCCGCAGGCCAUCUCGAAGAAGAAGGUGCCAGUGGGGUCGGCGGGGCUCAGCUGCUCAGCCAGACCAAAGUCAGCCAGGCAGUAGGUGUCGUCAGCGCGGUGGAGCAUGUUGGCAGGCUUGACGUCUGUAGGGGAUGAGAGGGCAAGGGCCAGCGAGUCAAGCGAAGCGCGUAAGAGGUCAUGGUGGUUGGAUGGGGGCGCAAGUAAAGGAGCAGAGAGUGCGCGGCGUGGCGCUAAGUGCAUGCAUGCGUCUUCCAUCUCACCAAUCCCCGCCGUCGUAUCCUGGGACACGCACCACACCCUCAUCAGCGGCAGCAGCCCCGCCCCUCCGCAUCUGGCUGGCUGGCCCGCUCACCGUUGUGCACGAGUCCCACGCGGUGCAUGGCCUUGAUCGCGGCCGCCAGAGACACCAGGAUGGCCAGCACCUGCUUCAGCGGCAGCAGCGCCACGUCCUCCCACACGUCGCGGCAGCGGGGAGCACUGGCAGUGCCAGGCACUGGGAAGCCCGGCGGAGCACGGGCCACACGCACAGACGGCAGAAGCGGGUCUUCAGCAGCAGAAGUAGCAGCCGAGGCCGGCGCCGACGCAGGCACGGGCGGCGAGGCCAGUAGUGGUGCGAAGCCAGGCGGUGGCAGCGGGGGGCGAGGGGCCGCCGGCAGUGCGUGAAAGCCCGGCGGCGGCGGGCACGGGCGAGGGCUGGCCGCCAGCAGGGGCUCAAAGCCGGGCGGCGGCGGCGGCGGCCGAGGGGCCGGCAGGACGCCAGAGCCCGGCGGCGCCGCCGGCCGCGCCCUGGUGACGUUGUCAGGCAUGCUGGCGACGUCGGUGUUGGCGGCGGCGGCUGCAUCUGCCUGCUGCUGUGUGGCCUCCAUCUGAGCCCAGAUCUCGUCGCGCUUUUCAGUGGCAUCCUCCUGUGCAAUGCAGAGCAUACCGUAUAGGAGUGAGGGGCCAGGUUUUGGGCAUGACAGCUUAGGCUUGUGUGUAGCCAACGCUCAAGCAAGCGUGCACGCUACGCACGCACACACACACAGGCCCGCCCACACAGGCCCCUCUGGGCGGGCUUUCGUUUCGCUUUUUAACACACAGGCCCGCACACGCGCACGGCUCACCAGUACGGAAGCCACGCAGCCCUUUGCCAGCUCCAUCACCAUCAUGGGCAGCUGCCCGGGCCGGCCGCCGUGGCACAGCAGCCGCACAAACGGGCUCCGCUCAGCCGCCGCCAGCAGCGGCAACGGCUGUUCAGGCGAGGAGGAAGAAGAGGAGGAGGAAGAGGCGGUGGCGCAGGCCUGCUGCAGCUGCAUCGCCGCGCCGACCUCCCUGUUCAGCUGCUCCUUGGCCUUGGUGAGUCCGCCCAGGAACAGCUUGGCGGCGACGGGCCGUGUGGUGCCGUCGGGCCGCUGCAACAGCCCCACGUGCACGAGGCCGUAGCCGCCGCGGCCGAUCUUGCCCUCGGACCGCCAGCACUGGAGGCCGUGACGCUCCUCGAACGCGUCCAGCUGAGGGAUAAGGGGAACAGGAGGAAGCAAGGAAGGGGGUUAUUAUAUUCGAGAUUAUUAAGAAGGAGGGAUUGGCGCCGGGCGUUACGAGGGCGGCGUGGGAAGCAAUGCAAGUGGACAGCGAGGAGACAGCUAGCCGGCAGGCGACACGCGCGCACACAGUGUCAUGGCUUCCAUGGAUGCACCCAACCAAACACCCCAGUUCAGGCGCAGGACGCACGGCAAACUACCGUGUGCGUACGUGUGCUCCAUGCUGCCCUCUGCUGCCACCCACUACACCCACCCACCAGCACGAGACACCCGCUCACCAGCAGCUUGCGGAAAUCCUCCACGACGCUCUUGGAGAAGCGGCGAAAGGAGCCGUCCUCGAACGUCACCACCAGCCGCACCUCCCCCUGCAUGUAGCUGCUGACGUCGUCGUUCUCAUCGCCGCCACUCGAGGACUCGGCCUGGACCUCGCCGCAGCAGGUGGCCGCGGGCGCGUCCUCGCUCGCCGGGCAGGAGGCGGAGGGAGCAGGGGCAACGACGGGGCCGGCGGGCACGAGGGCCUUGGAGGUGGAGGCGGAGGUGGGGUUGGAGGGGGAGGCGGAGGGGACGGCGCUGCCAUCGGUCGUGCAGUCGUCGCCCGAGCUUGACACGGGCGGCGUGGGAGACUCCUUCAUGGCCUCGAGGACGGGGGCGGGGCUAGCUGCAGCCAACGUGGCGCGCGGGUCCCAAAGUGGACGCCGAACGACCUGAGAGAGAGGUGGAAAGGGCGCGUGUGGUGGGGGAGCGGAUAGGACGAGUGCGCGCGUUCGUUGAGCAGGAGCCUCAAGAAUGCCGAUACGUGGUUGGAUGAAAGAGCCCCAGGCGAGAGGUCUAAGAGAGCGCGCGAGCAACAAUCAAGCUGAACAAACCAAAGACUGUCGUAAAGCCUACUGCGCAUGCCAUUAGUGGAAGUUUGGCUUUGACCAUUGCCGGGCCAGCGUUCCGGCCAGGCGGUGCACAAAGGAAACGCCAGUAGCGCUGAAUUGGUGGUUGUGCCCGCCAACGUGUACCCGUCGCUUUUGCAGAAUGCUCACCUUCUGUCCAUUGCAAGGGAAGCAUGGCGAGCGGAUGUCGCUAGCAGUAGCCUUGCACAGGCGAGGCACGCCGAGGGCCUCAGGCAGAGCAUUGAGCAUGCAGCUCAAGUCCUCUCUCAAGUCUCCGCCCGUCAGCGCCUUGAAGACGCAUCCAGCCAGAAACGCGAGCAUAGAAGCACACGUUUGAGCAAAGGAAAGAAAUAGCGACAAGUCAACAGAAGUGCGCCGAGUAAUCGGUGCAGUCUUUUCGCUCGCUAUGUGCGUUUAGAUGUCACGAGCUAGCAGUGCAUGCUUUGAGAAGCUGAGAUAGCGUAGAAGUAAGGAAAUGCCGCAUGUUGACCGCAUUUUGUCCAGCCCCGCGACCUCGCGACCGGAUGGCAGUACGACCGCGCACAGCUGAAGCCGCCGUGAACAACAGGUCCCUCGCCACACCGUGCGUGUCCAGUUUGCGAUUGAAUGCAUCAUGUAAUACUCUAGAUGUAUUACUCGCAGCAAACGUUGCAUAAAAGAAAUGCGCGUGUCAGGACGACUGGAGUGAGACGGAAGGUGCACAGCCAUGACUGUUACACCCCGUCAGCUUGUCGCUAACGGCCGCGCCCCGGCAGGUGCAGUGUGCUGGCCCGCAGCUAGUAGACGCAUGCUUUGACAGCGGGUGCAUGUCUCAGAGACUCAGAGCCGCACGCGGGGCCUUAGGUGCUGACUCUGCUGAGAGUGGAAGGGAGUGCAUGCGCGCAGCCAGCAGCGGUCGGGUUCGCAGAGGUCCGCUCAGGGUCACCCCUGGGUCCGCUGUGGUUGGAACGUGUAGUUCGACGCCACAUCCGUACAUAACGCUGGACUGGCCACCGACAAAUGCUCUUUCUCCUUUUACCAACGCCACUGCGACAUCUGCACUCUGCAGACGCGGGCACACAUAGCCUGCUGCUUGAAGCCAUACUUCACUGAACACAUCAGGGAAGCAAACAUAACACCUCCCCACCUGCGCAAUCAUGCCCACCCAGUCCCACCCCGCCUCUGUAAACUCAGUAACUUCAGAAUCCCCGAACUCAAACCAAUCCCACAUACACGUUCCCACAGGCCACUCUUAUACCUUCGGCCGAUCGGAAGCUAGCAGGUAGCGGCCUCCUUUCAACUGUUCCAACAAGAGUAUGCGAUACAAUACGGUACUCACGCUAUACCAGUAUGACUUACGGUUCGCCACCAGAGUUCGUACUUGCCGCCAACGCGUGCCAGUUCUUAUCCGAGUCACCUGCCUGUGCCUAGUGCCCCUGCCCACGGCAUUGCAGCAGCGCGACCGUACCAUAGCAGCACGACCAGUGCGCCCGCACCAUGCACUGCUCUGAGGUCGUGGCGUUCAUUCCCCUCGCCUGCCCUUGCGCCCUUCCAUUACGGUACUUCAUGGCAUGCAGCUGCGCCCAUGUCGACAGCCGCAACAACGCCAUACGUCUGUCCCCAUCACCUAUCCGUCACCUGCUCCCCUGCAUCAAGCCUGGCAUGGCUCCCCCUCGCUUCCGUCUCCCAUUCCCUGCACCCUCCACCGGGCCCAACCUCCAUCCCAGCCGCCACAGCCAAUGCCCUCUUCUCGACCCAUUGUAAUCCGCAUCCAUAUGCUGCGUUGGCUGGCGCAGUUCGUUUACUCGGGAGGACUCGGCGGGGCGUCUUCCGCUGCACGCCUGCACCCUUCCCCUUGCACCCUUGCCCCUUGCAUGGCUCUUGUACAUCAUGUUUGCAUCCGAGUCGCUGGCGGCGACACCACAAACCCCACACAUCUGCCCCCACCGAUGACUGCCUAGCACCUCAUCCGGCCGCUAUAGCCACCCACCUCGCUUCCAUGUCCUGCACCCGCGCUCCCUCCACCCACCACCGAGCCCCACCUCCAAGGCUCCAGCUCAUGCCCACUCAAGGCCACACGCACGCAUGCAGGUAAGAAGCAUGCUGAGAUGCACAAGCCCGCGAGGCCCGGCCCACGUACACCGUGCAUGCAUGCUCUGCAGUAUAUGCACCAGUAGGCAGGCCCCGAGGACAAAGAGACGUGUUACUGGAUGCUGCCCAUAGUUGUUACAAGUGCAUGCACGCACGCCGAUGCAUGAAGCUAUGGCCCCACCGGCCUUGAUUAGGAAAGAAGUCAUCUUUUAAUGUCAAUCCGUGCGUAUGCUUCACUGGGCUCCAGCCCUGCCCCGUCUCAUCCUCUCAUCCAGUGUCCUUACCCAGGGGUGAUGACCUGCAAUGCACAGGCCGUGCCCCUUCAUCCCGUGUGCCAGUCCUGUGCCCAUCCCUACUCGUCCUAGUCACGAGGCCUAACUAGCCGUGCACACGCUCCAGCCCCCGCCGCACCGUCAGCCGCUGCAGCUAUGAAGCCGUUCGCUACCCGCCGUCACACCCACGGUCACACCGCCUAGCAGCUAGUCCUCAUUACCGUACAUCUGGCCAAGCUGCCUGAAUCAAUGCAGCCAGCGCUUUACACAAGACAGUAUCGGCUGACACAAGCAGGUCAAAGCAAUCUAAUAGUGAAACGGUAGCCAACGAGCCAAAGACGCUUGGUUCAGCGACGCCGCGUCAGGCAUUUGCCCGCCUAGUCAGUUGUGUGUUGGCGUGCCGGUCUGUCAACCGCCUACCGCCCGUAUUCAUCACUAGCAGACUAAAGCCUAAAGCCGCAGCGUCUAAAAGAUACAGAUCAAUCCAUGUACAGGGUCCUAAAUGUCCAAAAACACCCGAAAGAGAAGCCAAUGCACGACUUGUGUGAAAGAGCAAUGCUAGGCAGACAGCGUUCGACCCAAACCACGUCUAGUGAUGACACGCACGCUCACGGGCACGCAGAGUGCCUCCCCUCGCAGCAGCAGUAUGAAUAAUAUCUGCAGCGCAUGUAUAAUGAAUAUGUACGCCCUAUGAAAGAACUUCCACGCCCUAGGCCGCUUGCUCCAUCCUAAGCGGUAGGUGGUGUUCCAGUCCUGCCCCUGACGCCCACUCGGAGCUAGCUGCGGCACUCCUGGGGCUGUCUCGGCCCGCAAGCACACAAGCAAACGCACACACUGAUGCCGGCCGCACGCCUGCUUGGCGCGGCACGAUAGCUAGUAAGCGAGCUAGCGAGCAAGCCCUACUCUCCUUGGCAGCAUACGCUGCAGCCCUGCCAAUGAAACCAUCUCAGGUUUGCCCUCUCUCGAACCUCUCAACAGCCCUGCCCGACAGCCUAUGGGCGCCCUUGGCGCGAAAACGCAAGCCACCAAUACCAAGCCCGCUAGCAGCACGUAGCAUGUAGCGUCAUCAGUAGCCGCACACAACGACCUCCUCCCAGAUCGCGGCCAGCCGCUGGACCACCUGCUCCGCAGUGGGCCGCUCCUGCGGAUCCCACGCCACGCAGUCGAGCAGCAGCAGCUCCAGCGACAGGGGCAGGUAGGAAGGGAAGAUGCCGGCCGGGAAGGCACGGGCAGCAGCCGGCGCGUCGCCGGCCGGCCACCAGCUCUGCUGCGCAAACCAAUCGGCCGCGGCGCUGUUGCUGCCGGUCACAGCCACGCACAGGGCCGUGAUGCCGAAUGAGUACACGUCAACGGCGGCCGUCAGUGGCACGUUGCUCUGCACCUCGGGUGCCAUGUAGUGGCGGGUGCCGCAGGCCAUCUCGAAGAAGAAGGUGCCAGUGGGGUCAGCGGGGCUCAGCUGCUCAGCCAGACCAAAGUCAGCCAGGCAGUAGGUGUCGUCAGCGCGGUGGAGCAUGUUGGCAGGCUUGACGUCUGUAGGGGAUGAGAGGGCAAGGGCCAGCGAGUCAAGCGAAGCGAGUAAGAGGUCAUGGUGGUUGGAUGGGGGCGCAAGUAAAGGGGCAGAGAGUGCGCGGCGUGGCGCUAAGUGCAUGCAUGCGUCUUCCAUCUCACCCAUCCCCGCCGUCGUAUCCUGGGACACGCACCACACCCUCAUCAGCGGCAGCGGCCCCGCCCCUCCGCAUCUGGCUGGCUGGCCCACUCACCGUUGUGCACGAGUCCCACGCGGUGCAUGGCCUUGAUCGCGGCCGCCAGAGACACCAGGAUGGCCAGCACCUGCUUCAGCGGCAGCAGCGCCACGUCCUCCCACACGUCGCGGCAGCGGGGAGCACUGGCAGUGCCAGGCACUGGGAAGCCCGGCGGAGCACGGGCCACACGCACAGACGGCAGAAGCGGGUCUUCAGCAGCAGAAGUAGCAGCCGAGGCCGGCGCCGACGCAGGCACGGGCGGCGAGGCCAGUAGUGGUGCGAAGCCAGGCGGUGGCAGCGGGGGACGAGGGGCCGCCGGCAGUGCGUGAAAGCCCGGCGGCGGCGGGCACGGGCGAGGGCUCGCCGCCGGCAGGGGCUCAAAGCCGGGCGGCGGCGGUGGUGGGCGAGGGGCCGGCAGGACGCCAGAGCCCGGCGGCGCCGCCGGCCGCGCCCUGGUGACGUUGUCAGACAUGCUGGCGACGUCGGUGUUGGCGGCGGCGGCUGCAUCUGCCUGCUGCUGUGUGGCCUCCAUCUGAGCCCAGAUCUCGUCGCGCUUUUCAGUGGCAUCCUCCUGUGCAAUGCAGAGCAUACCGUAUAGGAGUGAGGGGCCAGGUUUUGGGCAUGACAGCUUAGGCUUGUGUGUAACCAACGCUCAAGCAAGCGUGCACGCACGCACACACACAGGCCUGCCCACACAGGCCCCUCUGGGCGGGCUUUCGUUUCGCUUUUAAACACACAGGCCCGCACACGCGCACGGCUCACCAGUUCGGAAGCCACGCAGCCCUUCGCCAGCUCCAUCACCAUCAUGGGCAGCUGCCCGGGCCGGCCGCCGUGGCACAGCAGCCGCACAAACGGGCUCCGCUCAGCCGCCGCCAGCAGCGGCAACGGCUGUUCAGGCGAGGAGGAAGAAGAGGAGGAGGAAGAGGCGGUGGCGCAGGCCUGCUGCAGCUGCAUCGCCGCGCCGACCUCCCUGUUCAGCUGCUCCUUGGCCUUGGUGAGUCCGCCCAGGAACAGCUUGGCGGCGACGGGCCGUGUGGUGCCGUCGGGCCGCUGCAACAGCCCCACGUGCACGAGGCCGUAGCCGCCGCGGCCGAUCUUGCCCUCGGACCGCCAGCACUGGAGGCCGUGACGCUCCUCGAACGCGUCCAGCUGAGGGAUAAGGGGAACAGGAGGAAGCAAGGAAGGGGGUUAUUAUAUUCGAGAUUAUUAAGAAGGAGGGAUUGGCGCCGGGCGUUACGAGGGCGGCGUGGGAAGCAAUGCAAGUGGACAGCGAGGAGACAGCUAGCCGGCAGGCGACACGCGCGCACACAGUGUCAUGGCUUCCAUGGAUGCACCCAACCAAACACCCCAGUUCAGGCGCAGGACGCACGGCAAACUACCGUGUGCGUACGUGUGCUCCAUGCUGCCCUCUGCUGCCACCGACUACACCCACCCACCAGCACGAGACACCCGCUCACCGGCAGCUUGCGGAAAUCCUCCACGACGCUCUUGGAGAAGCGGCGAAAGGAGCCGUCCUCGAACGUCACCACCAGCCGCACCUCCCCCUGCAUGUAGCUGCUGACGUCGUCGUUCUCAUCGCCGCCACUCGAGGACUCGGCCUGGACCUCGCCGCAGCAGGUGGCCGCGGGCGCGUCCUCGCUCGCCGGGCAGGAGGCGGAGGGAGCAGUGGCAACGACGGGGCCGGCGGGCACGAGGGCCUUGGAGGUGGAGGCGGAGGUGGGGUUGGAGGGGGAGGCGGAGGGGACGGCGCUGCCAUCGGUCGUGCAGUCGUCGCCCGAGCUUGACACGGGCGGCGUGGGAGACUCCUUCAUGGCCUCGAGGACGGGGGCGGGGCUAGCUGCAGCCAACGUGGCGCG